rnacentral:rRNA from 1 species
GAUGAACGCUGGCGGCGUGCCUAAUACAUGCAAGUCGAGCGAACGGACGAGAAGCUUGCUUCUCUGAUGUUAGCGGCGGACGGGUGAGUAACACGUGGAUAACCUACCUAUAAGACUGGGAUAACUUCGGGAAACCGGAGCUAAUACCGGAUAAUAUUUUGAACCGCAUGGUUCAAAAGUGAAAGACGGUCUUGCUGUCACUUAUAGAUGGAUCCGCGCUGCAUUAGCUAGUUGGUAAGGUAACGGCUUACCAAGGCAACGAUGCAUAGCCGACCUGAGAGGGUGAUCGGCCACACUGGAACUGAGACACGGUCCAGACUCCUACGGGAGGCAGCAGUAGGGAAUCUUCCGCAAUGGGCGAAAGCCUGACGGAGCAACGCCGCGUGAGUGAUGAAGGUCUUCGGAUCGUAAAACUCUGUUAUCAGGGAAGAACAUAUGUGUAAGUAACUGUGCACAUCUUGACGGUACCUAAUCAGAAAGCCACGGCUAACUACGUGCCAGCAGCCGCGGUAAUACGUAGGUGGGCAGCGUUAUCCGGAUUAUUGGGCGUAAAGCGCGCGUUAGGCGGUUUUUUAGUCUGAUGUGAAAGCCCACGGCUCAACCGUGGAGGGUCAUUGGAAACUGGAAAACUUGAGUGCAGAAGAGGAAAGUGGAAUUCCAUGUGUAGCGGUGAAAUGCGCAGAGAUAUGGAGGAACACCAGUGGCGAAGGCGACUUUCUGGUCUGUAACUGACGCUGAUGUGCGAAAGCGUGGGGAUCAAACAGGAUUAGAUACCCUGGUAGUCCACGCCGUAAACGAUGAGUGCUAAGUGUUAGGGGGUUUCCGCCCCUUAGUGCUGCAGCUAACGCAUUAAGCACUCCGCCUGGGGAGUACGACCGCAAGGUUGAAACUCAAAGGAAUUGACGGGGACCCGCACAAGCGGUGGAGCAUGUGGUUUAAUUCGAAGCAACGCGAAGAACCUUACCAAAUCUUGACAUCCUUUGACAACUCUAGAGAUAGAGCUUUCCCCUUCGGGGGACAAAGUGACAGGUGGUGCAUGGUUGUCGUCAGCUCGUGUCGUGAGAUGUUGGGUUAAGUCCCGCAACGAGCGCAACCCUUAAGCUUAGUUGCCAUCAUUAAGUUGGGCACUCUAAGUUGACUGCCGGUGACAAACCGGAGGAAGGUGGGGAUGACGUCAAAUCAUCAUGCCCCUUAUGAUUUGGGCUACACACGUGCUACAAUGGACAAUACAAAGGGCAGCGAAACCGCGAGGUCAAGCAAAUCCCAUAAAGUUGUUCUCAGUUCGGAUUGUAGUCUGCAACUCGACUACAUGAAGCUGGAAUCGCUAGUAAUCGUAGAUCAGCAUGCUACGGUGAAUACGUUCCCGGGUCU